rnacentral:RNase_P_RNA from 1 species
GGGGCAAGUCGGGCAAUCGCGGGCUUAGGCACGAGGAAGGUCCGGACUCCACAGGACAGGGUAGCGGCUAACAGCCGUCCAUGCCAUCGGCAUGAGGAAUAGGGCCACAGAGACGAGACUGUUAUGAGGGCUUAUUUAUAAGCACACCAGUGGCGACUUCCACUGGUUGUGACAAUGUAUUUCGGUACAUGGUCACGGCAUAGCAGGGUGAAACGCGGUAACCUCUACUCGGAGCAACAUCAAAUAGGCAUACGUGCUGCGUCAUGCAGUCAAGGGCGGUCCGUCCGAGUAUGCGGGUAGAUGGCACGAGCUUAUUAGCAAUAAUAAGCCUAGAUGAAUGAUUGCCAGCGAGUAAUCGCUUACAGAAUCCGGCCUAUAGACUUGCCCCACAU